CUCAAGUCCAAGUUAGUGAGGACUCGGUGAACUGCCUAAACCAGGUUUUUUAUCUCUCUCCAACGACAUUGAGAUAUACCUUGGUGAGCCUGGAAUAAGUAAAUGCCAAUGCCGUGGAAGCUGAUAGGUGAAGGACAACCAUGAUCUCAUGUAGAAGUUUUUUACCUGACUUUGUUGCCAUAAUUAAAGUGAUGCCUCAAAGUGUGAGUGCCUCUCGAGUGAAAAUACUGCUGAAGAGUUAACAAUCUCUGAAAAUUAUCAGAUUAUAACUUAUCUCCCUCUGAGCUUCCACAUGCAUGGAAGAAAUACAUCUCAUAUUUUUUCUUUAGCUAAUAACACUGAAUUCUAGCUGCAAAAUAUUUAAAUAUGACAAUGAAAUAAGAUAUAGAUAGAGCUAUUUUUCCAUUAUGGGAGUCCUAUGGCUGCACAAAUAAAUGAGUUUGAUAAUAAAUGAGAAUUAUUUUU
rnacentral:lncRNA from 1 species